rnacentral:rRNA from 1 species
CGGGGGGCAACCCUGGUGGCGAGUGGCGAACGGGUGAGUAAUGCAUCGGAACGUGCCCAUCGAUGGGGGAUAACUGCGCGAAAGCGUUGCUAAUACCGCAUACGACCUACGGGUGAAAGCAGGGGACCGCAAGGCCUUGCGUCGAUGGAGCGGCCGAUGCCGGAUUAGCUAGUUGGUGAGGUAAAGGCUCACCAAGGCGACGAUCCGUAGCUGGUCUGAGAGGACGACCCAGCCACACUGGGACUGAGACACGGCCCAGACUCCUACGGGAGGCAGCAGUGGGGAAUCUUGGACAAUGGGCGAAAGCCUGAUCCAGCAAUGCCGCGUGUGGGAAGAAGGCCUUCGGGUUGUAAACCACUUUUGGCGGGAAAGAAAUGGUCUGUGCUAAUACCACGGAUUGAUGACGGUACCCGCAGAAUAAGCACCGGCUAACUACGUG